rnacentral:tRNA from 1 species
GCUGGUGUGGCUCAACGGUAGAGCAAUCGCCUUGUAAGCGAAAGGUUGCAGGUUCAAAUCCUGUCACCAGCCCCA